GGCAGGUUCUUGUUGUUUUAGAGCGAGGCUCAACAUCGGCCACUGAAUCUUUAUUUUUAGACGAAAAUCUGUCUCGCUUUCAAGCGUAAACACAGGGAAAAGCCUUCCUCACUGAUCUACAAGAAUCUAGCUACAAAAAGUUGGUCAAAAGUCACGAUUUGGAUGGUGUAUGGCGGAAAACGUCUCCGAGUCGUUGGACACGGUGGCUUUGCCACAGCAAAUAAUGGCUCAAACCGAAUCAAUAGCUGUUCAAGCUACGACUAAAAGUAGUAAGCUUAAUAGUGAAGGGAAUGGGGGGAUACGAGAUGCUACUACACAAAUUCCUAGUACUAUUGUUAGUAUUCAAGGGACUGCUGAAUCUAUCUCGAGUAUUAGUGAUGUAAACAUGGCUGAAGAAACAACAACAAGUGAAGGAAGUUUGAGCGGGAAUGAAACUAUCUCGGUUAGCACACAGGUUAACAUAAUUAACGAGCCUGAAAAUAUGGCUAUCAACGAGUCUGAAUAUGGAGAACAAUCUAUGAUUCAUGCCUCAACUGGACAUGUAAUAGGCGAAGAGAAUAUGGUACAAGAUAACACAGAAACAGUUAGCAUUCCCCAGGAUACUAUAACUAUGGUUUCUGAUGGUACGAUAGUAAGGGCUGGAGAACCCUUACAAAUGCCUACUACAUCUCUAGCCUCUCAUCUGCCCCCAUGGGCUGCACGCCUAAGGGACUGUGAACUUAUUGGGGAUUCCUAUAGGGGUUACGUCACCGAUGAAGUAGAGCUYGACCUCAUACUUACCUUGCACAAGCAAUACACAAAUAGCUGUUGGGGUACUCGGCAGUCACCAUCAUCUGCUAAACCAUCCAUAAGACUAAUGUGGAAAUCACAGUAUGUACCAUAUGAUGGGAUCCCGUUUCUAAAUACUGGUCGCAGAGCCACCGUAAUGGAGUGCCAAUAUGGCCCAAGGCGCAAGGGAAGUUCUAACAAGAAAACUUCAGAAUUUGACAGCGAAGGUAACACUAUGAAGAAGGCACACCGACCAACCUGUCCUGCUAGGAUUUAUAUCAAGAAGGUCCGAAAAUUUCCAGAGUACAGAAUUGACUUGGGUCUCAACCUUGAGGGAAAGAAUGUUCGACAAGCACAGGAGAGGGCAUUGACACACUUAAGACUGGCUGGCGUGGAAAAUGGUGGAGAGGAAAGGUUUUAUGUCCAGUUACCUCUACCAAUAGCACAUGAAUAUCAUGACAUUGAAGACAUACCUAUCACCACAAGCCCAGAAAAUACAGGACAGCGUCUCAACCAGCAAGUAGCAGAUAGGAUUCAAGAGCUUGUUGCUAGGGGCGUAACAGGUGUUUAUACAAUCAAGCACUGUCUGAAAGAAUAUGUGGAGAAAGAGUUGUAUUUUGGUCAAGAGGCUCCUCCCAGACAUAACAAAGCUUUCUUUCCUACUAUCAUUGAUCUUCAAAACCAUAUCCAUCAGGCCCAAAAUGCUCUGAAUACAGGAUCAUUAUUGCCAUUACCACCACUGAACAACCUACCAGUCAUACCUUCUGUAACCAACAAAGAAAGAGUGCGCAAAAGGAAACAUCCUGAAAAACUUUCCCAGACAUCUCAAACAAUCCAUCGCUUACAGACAGCAGAGGCUAUUGCCAGUAUACAGAAUAUAGGACAGGUUCAGAUGGAUCAAGAUGGGCAGUCAUCAGACUCAGUGGUAGAACAUGGUGGAAUUCCACAAGAUAAUGACAAUCAGCUUCAGGAGCAGCUUGAAAAUCUUAACGAAACAGCUGAGGGACAGCAAAUUCUGAUAACCCAUGGCCAGUCAGACCCCAGUAAAAGUGGGCAAGUCGUAAUAGUUGUUACAUCAAACAAUGUCUUCAAUGGCCAAGAAUCUGAUACACCAACCACCUUUGCGCUGACUACUCUUCCUUCAUCCCAAUUCACCAACAUGCAACAGACAACAUCCUUUGGAACUUUGUCGACAGGAAAUCCAGCUGUUCUUAUARCUGAACAAGGAGAAAAUGGCCAGUUCCUGGCUCACACUCAAUCAGGGAACAUUUUGACAGUAAUGAAUCCCAAUUCACUUCAAGGAGGUGCACCUACUGAAGGUAUUGUCUUACGCAUGGUGGCUAGUCCUAGUACUUUAUCAACAACAGCAACAUCUGUAGAUUCACAGGCACAGCCUUCAGCACCUGAACAGUUACUUGCCAGUCAAGCAGCAGUAGCGGCAGUACUCAAUGCUGCUGACACUUCCAAUCAGCAACACAAAGGAGACAAUGAUGGUGAGCCACCAGUCAAGAGACAAGCUGUGGGAAUCGAUUUAUCUUCACUUGUUAAGGAAGCUGGUUUUGAUACACAACAAGUCCAGGUGGCUGGUGUUGACAUGUCUGGAGAAUCAGGAGCAACAACAGCACAAGCCACUGGUAUUGUCCUAGGACACUCAUGUGAAACCACUGAAAACGCCCAAAGCUUAAGUCAACAAGAGCAGUAUACAAACACUACAGAAACCCCGCUCUACAGCUAUAGUACCACCAGCGACGACUCAAAACAACCACCUCAAGUCGUCUCUGUAAACAUGCAACAUGUUUCCAUGGGAACAGGCAAUGAAAGACAAGGAGCAUCAGAUGAGAGCACCCAACAGUCAACCUUAGCAGUUGCAGAGAGCUACCAGGUGUUAGAAGACCAAGCUUCAAAUUCAAUACGUAUUCAACAAGGAACGGUUGACGUGGGGCAAAUUCGACCUGUUGUCAUGACAACAGACCUAAUGGAAAACUACCCGGUGUCGAAGUUUACCAAGUCAUCUGGUACUGAAACAGUUAUGAUUGCUAGCUCCCAUUCAGGUCCAGGAAACAAUGGUAUUGUCCAACAAAGUAUGGGGCAGCUUGACUCGGAGUUGGUACUAAUGGGAGAAGAUGGGUCUUCUGAAUCAUAUCAGACGAAUUCAUUACAAAAUAAUCCUGGUCCUGAGUCUGAGUCUGAGGGAAAUAUGGAUAACCUUGCUAAAGAGUGUAAUACUGAAAGCUGAAUAAAGAAGCUUUUAUUCCUAUACAGUACUCACCACAUGAUCAGAAACCAAUGGAUUCAAGUCUCUGGGCUGGACAGAAAGUAUGAAAAUAGACUUGCCUGAAAUUGAAUGAAACAUCAUUUUCCAGCUAAAAUCAAAACCAAUAAAUUACAUUUUAGGAGUGUCAUUUAGAAAUAUCUUUGUCAUAAAACUUCCUAGAACCAGUUGUUAGUGUGUUGGCAAUGCUAGACUCUGCUAGCAAGGACAUCUGUGUUUGCGAUUGCAUAUGAAGUCUGAUACUGUGUGACACACUCAGUAACCUGGCCAGUACCAUAUGAACAAAUUUAACCAAUCACGACAUAGAGUGAAAACAAAACGAUCAAACUGAAAUGAACCAAUCAGGAACAAACAGCGAAGCCUAGAUAUCUGCAUGGGGCAAGGUCUCAGUUCUAAGAAGGUCUAAAACAACAGAAACAAAACAAUAGAAAGAGUCGAGUUUGUUUUGGCCAAUCUUGACAGCUCUACGUAGCGAGUGCGACAUAACUGUCACCUACAGAAUAGAUCUAGAGGCUUGCACAAAUCAAUUUGGUAAGUAUAAAGCACAGAUCAGGGACGGUGCACUGGACAACCCCCUAACGCCGUCAUUACUCUUACGCCUUUUUGAAGCAAAACAAACACAUUUCUUCAUUUUGACAAAUUCCUGGAUCCGCCCCCACACUAUUGGCUUGCCUAGUUUUUCUCCGCUCGCUUUUGUCCUAAUUCUUUCACCUGUAAAUCUAAGAGAGGUAUGUCGCGAGUGGAAGCAUGUCUAAUGGGACAAUUAUGGGCGAAAAAAAGGAAGUCUUUGAAAUUUUAUAUUUUUAAAAAUUUAUAUGUCAUUUGAAUAGAGGGCCUUUAAAAUGCCUCAAAAUGCCUCAAAACGGGGGAAAAUUGGGAUUCAAUGUAUAAGGGUCGGAGGAAAAAAUUUGUGUAUUUGCUAUUUUGCAACCAACCCCUCCCCGUAGCUCCCCCGAUAUAUUUUGAAUGCUUCCUUAGGCGUACAAAAUGUCUAUGAUAAACAGUUGCCCUAUUUCGCUAGUACAUGACGUCACUGCUUGUUUAUGUGGGUGAUAGAAUCGCCAAAUUCAAUAGAAAAUUCAACAAAAUUUGCUCCUAGCGAAACAGUUUAAUCUAAAAUGGCCUGGUUUUCAGAUAUAAUAUGUGCCAGUAAUAUGUAGUAACAAAUAUUCUGAACGUUCUGGCUAUUCUACUUCUCUUCACAAUCGAUCUUCUCAAUUUAUUUUGUUCCUAAAAUUGGGUUUCCUGUGUCAUGUCACGUGAGACUGCCUGCUCAGCUCUUUCUUCGCUUGCCUUGGUUGACUUCGCUGCAGGUGCAAAGGGCGACCCCCUUGGUAGAGGCUAUUUCGCGAGACUCAAAACGACAUCCCGAAAAUGACGUCACCUUCGUGUUCCCGACGGAAUGAUUGUCUCGAUAGUGAAGCUACCGGAAAUCAUGCCAUGUUGAAGUCGUGUUGAAGCCGUUUGUUGAGUGUUUGAACGUGUAAAUCGUGAUUAAUUUUAAAAUAAAAAUAAGAAUCUCUCAA